AUGGGCCGUGGCAGGUUUUGCCUUGUGGACUGUGUGGUGUGCGAGGUGAUGACGUCUAGUUACACUGAUGGCUGCAUGCUCAACAUCACCACAUGUCGCCUCCGGUACUCUCACAAGAGAGAGCUGCGGAUCGCCGAUCGCGCCACCAAAUCCUGUCAAAUGACCAAGAAUGUCCGCGCAUUUUCUCCUGUUGCGUUCUGGAUGUAA
rnacentral:rRNA from 1 species